GGUAUACCAAGGACCCUCCCUCUUUCGAUGCCACCGUGAUGGAAUCAGAAGAAUCAGUGGGUUGAUAAAGCAAGGGUCUGGAAGCAGCCUCUCUUGAACACGGUGAUUUCUCCUUCUAUUACAUUUUUUUUUUCCAUUUUUAAUUUCUCUAGCAGCUUUAACUUGGUUGUUAUACCGCUAAUCUUAUUGUAAUCUUCUCUUUACCCAGAUACCAAUGCUCCUGUUUCUUUCUCGAAGAUAGAGGAUCACUGGGUGCUCAAGAUUUUUUCAAUCUUUCGCUUGAUGCUUUUUUCCCCUCCUUUCGUUGGUUCCGUUGUUUGAUUUAAACCUUUCUGUUGGAUUUCAUGUUGUUCUGUAAUUUCUAUUUCUUGGACUUCUGAUCCGUUUGUAAUUUCCUUUUCCUGUUGGUUUGAUGACAUUA
rnacentral:lncRNA from 1 species